rnacentral:tRNA from 1 species
GAGACUGUGGCUCAGUGGUACAGCAUCUGUUUGGCAUGCAGAAGGGCUUAGGUUCAAUCCUCAGCAGUGUAA